GCCGCGUUCGUCUAGUGGCCUAGGACGGCGCCUUCUCAAGGCGCAGAUCGAGGGUUCGACUCCCUC
rnacentral:tRNA from 1 species